GACGAACGCUGGCGGCGUGCUUAACACAUGCAAGUCGUACGGUAAGGCCCUUUCGGGGGUACACGAGUGGCGAACGGGUGAGUAACACGUGAGUAACCUGCCCACAACUUUGGGAUAACGCUAGGAAACUGGUGCUAAUACUGGAUAUGUGCUCCUGCUGCAUGGUGGGGGUUGGAAAGCUCCGGCGGUUGUGGAUGGACUCGCGGCCUAUCAGCUUGCUGGUGGGGUAGUGGCCUACCAAGGCGGCGACGGGUAGCCGGCCUGAGAGGGUGACCGGCCACAUUGGGACUGAGAGACGGCCCAGGCUCCUACGGGACGGAGCAGGGGGGAAUAUUGAACAAUGGGCGCAAGCCUGAUGCAGCAACUCCGCGUGCGGGAUGACGGCCUUCGGGUUGUAAACCACUUUCAGCAGGGACGAAGCAUUUUGUGACGGUACCUGCAGAAGAAGCACCGGCUAACUACGUG
rnacentral:rRNA from 1 species